CUGUCUUUUAAAUGGAAGAACUAUUAAGGAUUAGAGGGACAAUGUUGUCUCUGAUUUAACUCAAGAACUUGGGAGAUCACAGAGAUAAACUUCUGAAGGGCAUCAGAUCUUCCCAGAAAUCAAGUGCGGAAGUUCAGCGGAAUGCUGUUGGACACAGUAGGCACAAUGGAUGAAAAUUAGAAAGGUGGUGAAGUAUAAACCCGGGAAUGUGAGACAGGCAUCACUUGUAGUUACAUGAAUCAGAAAAUAAAAGGAGGCAGGUCUGCAAAGGACCCUGCUCUAUGCACCAGUCCUGAGGUU
rnacentral:lncRNA from 10 species